rnacentral:rRNA from 1 species
GACGAACGCUGGCGGCGUGCUUAAUACAUGCAAGUCGAACGGAAAGGCCCUGCUCUUGUUGGGUGCUCGAGUGGCGAACGGGUGAGUAACACGUGAGUAACCUGUCCUUGAAUUUGGGAUAACUUUAGGAAACUGGGGCUAAUAUCGGAUAGGAGCUCCUGCUGCACGGUGGGGGUUGGAAAGUUUCGGCGGUUGGGGAUGGACUAGCGGCUUAUCGGCUUGUUGGUGGGGUAGUGGCUUACCAAGGUUUUGAAGGGUAGCCGGCCUGAGAGGGUGGCCGGCGACAUUGGUACUGAGAUACGGCGCAGACUCCUACGGGAGGCAGCAGGGGGGAGUAUUGCGGAAUGAGCGGAAGCCUGAUGCGGCAACGCCGCGUUCGUGAUAACGUCCUACGAGGUGUAAACCGCUUUCUCCGUUGACAUAGCGUGAGUGACGGUAAUUGGUAAGGAAGCACCGGCUAACUACGUG